rnacentral:tmRNA from 1 species
GGGGUUGAAUGGAUUUGACAGCAAGUUGAGGUGGUGCGUAAGCAUGCAGAGUGUUGAGACCGACUCUUCAAAACGUCUCGAAUCAAAUUUAUCUGGCAACAAUACUUAUGCUCUCGCUGCAUAGACGAAGUUCAGUAGUCUGAUUGCUUAAUUCCCUUGCCAGGCAGGGGAACGAGACAUCGCCCUGAAAGCUAUUUUCCUGAAGCGGUCAGUAAGGCGGUGCAGUAAAAUCGGGAAUAGUUGUGGAUGGCCUCGCGUCUGCGAUGAAACUCUUAGAGGAUAAGGCUGUGUUUGGUGGUCCGGGUCUUGAUGCAGCACGAAAACCUAAGCCGGAAUAAGCAUGUAGAAAGCGUAUGGUCUCCUUGUUUGGACGCGGGUUCAAAUCCCGCCAGCUCCACAC